rnacentral:rRNA from 1 species
GACGAACGCUGGCGGCGUGCCUAAUACAUGCAAGUUGAGCGCUGAAGGUUGGUACUUGUACCAACUGGAUGAGCAGCGAACGGGUGAGUAACGCGUGGGGAAUCUGCCUUUGAGCGGGGGACAACAUUUGGAAACGAAUGCUAAUACCGCAUAAAAACUUUAAACACAAGUUUUAAGUUUGAAAGAUGCAAUUGCAUCACUCAAAGAUGAUCCCGCGUUGUAUUAGCUAGUUGGUGAGGUAAAGGCUCACCAAGGCGAUGAUACAUAGCCGACCUGAGAGGGUGAUCGGCCACAUUGGGACUGAGACAAGGCCCAAACUCCUACGGGAGGCAGCAGGAGGGAAUCUUCGGCAAUGGACGAAAGUCUGACCGAGCAACGCCGCGUGAGUGAAGAAGGGUUUCGGAUCGUAAAACUCUGUUGGUAGAGAAGAACGUUGGUGAGAGUGGAAAGCUCAUCAAGUGACGGUAACUACCCAGAAAGGGACGGCUAACUACGUG